UUCAAAACAUAUUUUGAGAUUCUUUCUUUUCUGUUUUUCAUGAAUUUUAACUAAUUUUCUCAAAAAAAUUUGAAAUUUUGUAUGGCUACUGUCAAUUUUUGUUUUCUCUCAAGAUUUUAUUAUUUAAACUACUGUUUUGAUGUCACAAUAUUGUCCAAAAAAGAGUUCUUGUUGAAAUUAUGAAUUAUGGAAAAUAAAAACAAACCUAUGAGCAUUCAUAAGUUUGAUGAUAAAAAUUUCAUAAAAGUUGGUUGAGAGACAAGUCAAAAGUAUUUCUUUUAGAAAAUUUACAAAUUUGUAUAGAAUGAUAAAGGGAAAUAAUGACAAGGGAAUGAAUUUGUUUAAACACUUUAUGUAUGCUUGUACAAGACAAUAUUUAAGAGUCUGACACAAUGGAUUGGUCUGAUUUUUUGUUUUAUCCUAAUAAUCCAUAAUUUGGCAAUUUUUUUGACUUAACAACUAAAUUAUGAUUUCCCAAUAGCAAAGUUACCAAGUUUUUGUUUUUUAAAUGUUAGACCGCCCAAGACAGACAUAGAGAUGAAAACAGUUGUUUUAAGAAAAUCAUUAAAUAGUUGCAAUCAUUCCAUAGGCUAUUAUAAAAACUUUUUGCAAUAUAUUCUACCAUUAAAAUUUACUUCAUAUUAAAAAUACUAAUGUUGCAUAUAGUGUAUAUAUAAACACUAUAAUCAAAUGUAUUUUGUAAUCUUGCUUCUUUAAUUAUCAUGUAUUGCCUGAAAAUAUAUUAACACUACUUAUGUAUUUUUUUUGUUUCUAAUGACUUGUUACAUAUAUUUAAAUUGUUGAAUAGUGAAUAAAAUUAGUUUUUUACAGAA
rnacentral:lncRNA from 1 species